rnacentral:sRNA from 1 species
AUGGCUGUCGUCAGCUCGUGUCGUGAGAUGUUGGGUUAAGUCCCGCAACGAGCGCAACCCUUACUUUUAGUUGCUACCAUUUAGUUGGGCACUCUAAAAGAACUGCCAGUGAUAAGCUGGAGGAAGGUGGGGAUGACGUCAAGUCCUCAUGGCCCUUAUGUGUUGGGCUACACACGUGCUACAAUGGUAUUUACAGAGGGAAGCUAAGAGGCAACUCCAAGCUAAUCCCAAAAAAAUACCUCAGUUCGGAUUGUACUCUGCAACUCGAGUACAUGAAGCUGGAAUUACUAGUAAUCGCGGAUCAGCGCGCCGCGGUGAAUACGUUCCCGGGUCUUGUACACACCGCCCGUCACACCAUGGAAGUUGGUUACACCUUAAGGCAAAGCAUAAAACCUUUGACUACGGUACGAUCAGCGACUGGGGUGAAGUCGUAACAAGGUAGCCGUAGGGGAACCUGCGGCUGGAUCACCUCCUUUCUAAGGAAAUCGAAAAAUAUCAAAUCAAUUAUUUUUCGAUUUAAAAAAAACCGGUAAUGUGACCGUCCUCAUUUCUCUUCUUAUUAAUGUCUCUGAGUAAAAAUAAUGUAAGGGGCCGGUAGCUCAGGUGGUUAGAGCGCACCCCUGAUAAGGGUGAGGUCGGAAGUUCGAAUCUUCCUCGGCCCACCAAAAGUUUAGGGGGAUUAGCUCAGCUGGGAGAGCGCCUGAUUUGCAUUCAGGAGGUCAGCGGUUCGAUCCCGCUAUCCUCCACCAACGUAUUGAGACAUUCAGCUUUUUUAAAUUGUGAAUAUUAAUAUUAUCAAUAUCUAUAUCGAUUGUUUUCAGAUAUUUUUUUGAAAACAAUCAAAACAAAAAUUUGAAUUUUACACAGAAAGUUUUUUUCUGUGCAUAAAUCAAGCGUUUAAGGGCGAUUGGCGGAUGCCUUGGCACUGUAAGACGAUGAAGGACGUGGUAUACUGCGAUAAGUUUCGGGGAGCUGUAUGCAAGCAUUGAUCCGAAAAUUUCCGAAUGGGGAAACCCGG